rnacentral:rRNA from 1 species
AGAGUUUGAUCCUGGCUCAGGACGAACGCUGGCGGCGUGCCUAACACAUGCAAGUCGAGCGAAUGAAGUUCCUUCGGGAACGGAUUUAGCGGCGGACGGGUGAGUAACACGUGGGCAACCUGCCUCAUAGAGGGGAAUAGCCUUCCGAAAGGGAGAUUAAUACCGCAUAAGAUUGUAGUACCGCAUGGUACAGCAAUUAAAGGAGUAAUCCGCUAUGAGAUGGGCCCGCGGCGCAUUAGCUAGUUGGUGAGGUAACGGCUCACCAAGGCGACGAUGCGUAGCCGACCUGAGAGGGUGAUCGACCACAUUGGGACUGAGACACGGCCCAGACUCCUACGGGAGGCAGCAGUGGGGAAUAUUGCACAAUGGGGGAAACCCUGAUGCAGCAACGCCGCGUGAGUGAUGACGGCCUUCGGGUUGUAAAGCUCUGUCUUCAGGGACGAUAAUGACGGUACCUGAGGAGGAAGCCACGGCUAACUACGUGCCAGCAGCCGCGGUAAUACGUAGGUGGCGAGCGUUGUCCGGAUUUACUGGGCGUAAAGGGAGCGUAGGCGGAUUUUUAAGUGAGAUGUGAAAUACUCGGGCUUAACCUGAGUGCUGCAUUUCAAACUGGAAGUCUAGAGUGCAGGAGAGGAGAAGGGAAUUCCUAGUGUAGCGGUGAAAUGCGUAGAGAUUAGGAAGAACACCAGUGGCGAAGGCGCUUCUCUGGACUGUAACUGACGCUGAGGCUCGAAAGCGUGGGGAGCAAACAGGAUUAGAUACCCUGGUAGUCCACGCCGUAAACGAUGGAUACUAGGCGUAGGGGUUGUUAUGACCUCUGUGCCGCCGCUAACGCAUUAAGUAUUCCGCCUGGGGAGUACGGUCGCAAGAUUAAAACUCAAAGGAAUUGACGG